AUUGAACGCUGGCGGCAGGCUUAACACAUGCAAGUCGAGCGGUUGAAGGGAGCUUGCUCCUGGAUUCAGCGGCGGACGGGUGAGUAAUGCCUAGGAAUCUGCCUCGUAGUGGGGGAUAACGUCCGGAAACGGGCGCUAAUACCGCAUACGUCCUGAGGGAGAAAGUGGGGGUUCUUCGGACCUCACGCUAUCAGAUGAGCCUAGGUCGUAUUAGCUAGUUGGUGGGGUAAAGGCCUACCGGGGCGACGAUCCGUAACUGGUCUGAGAGGAUGAUCAGUCACCCUGGAACGGAGACGCGGUCCAGGCUCCUACGGGAGGCAGCAGUGGGGAAUGUUGGAAAAUGGGCGGAAUCCUGAUCCAGCCGUGCCGCGUGUGUGAAGAAGGUCUUCGGAUUGUAAAGCACUUUAAGUUGGGAGGAAGGGCAGUAAGUUAAUACCAUGCUGUUUUGACGGUACCAACAGAAGAAGCACCGGCUAACUUCGUG
rnacentral:rRNA from 1 species